CAGCCGCCGCGGUAAUACGAAGGGGGCUAGCGUUGCUCGGAAUGACUGGGCGUAAAGGGCGCGUAGGCGGUCCGGAUAGUCAGAUGUGAAAUUCCUGGGCUUAACCUGGGGGCUGCAUUUGAUACUGUCGAGCUUGAGUAUGGAAGAGGGUCGUGGAAUUCCCAGUGUAGAGGUGAAAUUCGUAGAUAUUGGGAAGAACACCGGUGGCGAAGGCGGCGACCUGGUCCAUAACUGACGCUGAGGCGCGAAAGCGUGGGGAGCAAACAGGAUUAGAUACCCGAGUAGUCCCUGUCUCUUAUAC
rnacentral:rRNA from 1 species